rnacentral:rRNA from 1 species
UGCAAGUCGAGGGAUAGGCCCUUCGGGGCUGAGACCGGCGCACGGGUGAGUAACGCGUAUGUAACCUGCCCGUAAGAGGGGGAUAGCCCAGUGAAAACUGGAUUAAUACCGCAUAAGAUGCAUUGAUAGCAUUAGAUAUGCAUUAAAGAUUUUAUCGCUUACGGAUGGACAUGCGUUGGAUUAGCUGGUUGGCGGGGUAACGGCCCACCAAGGCGACGAUCCAUAGGGGUUCUGAGAGGAAGGUCCCCCACAUUGGUACUGAGACACGGACCAAACUCCUACGGGAGGCAGCAGUGAGGAAUAUUGGUCAAUGGGCGGAAGCCUGAACCAGCCAAGUCGCGUGAAGGAUGAAGGUAUUAUGUAUUGUAAACUUCUUUAGCAGUGGAGAAAUAAGGGAGUCGAGACUCCUGAUGCUAGUACACUGAGAAUAAGGAUCGGCUAACUCCGUGCCAGCAGCCGCGGUAAUACGGAGGAUCCGAGCGUUAUCCGGAUUUAUUGGGUUUAAAGGGUGCGCAGGCGGCCUUGCAAGUCAGCGGUCAAAUCGUGGAGCUCAACUCCAUUCCGCCGUUGAUACUGCCGGGCUUGAUUGCGGUUGAGGUUUGCGGAAUUCGUCGUGUAGCGGUGAAAUGCAUAGAUAUGACGAAGAACCCCGAUUGCGUAGGCAGCAGACCAAGCCGUAAAUGACGCUCAUGCACGAAAGUGCGGGGAUCGAACAGGAUUAGAUACCCUGGUAGUCCGCACAGUAAACGAUGAAUACUUGCUUUUGGCGAUACAUUGUCAGAGGCAAAGCGAAAGCGAUAAGUAUUCCACCUGG